ACAGACCGCUUUAGUUGUUGUGGAGCUUGGAGCUUAGCAAGGGGCUGGUACAAAAACACAAAUCAACGCAAUGCAAUAAAUUGUGAAAGAAUUGUCUUCUAGGAGGGACCUCUGUUCUCCUGCAAAUGGCAGAUGAGAGGAGUCACAGGUUUUCUCUCCUCUUAAUUAUUCAGAUCUUGGCACCUGAGGAGCAGACCAGCUGGGGUUAGGAAUCCAAAGCAGGGCAGGAUCCGUCCACACACUCGUGUGUUUAUUUAUUUAUGCAGCUCCAGCAAAGAAAAUUAAAAACAGGGCUGGCCCCUGGCUGGGAGAUGGAGCCUGACACUGCAUAUGCGUCUGUGAGACUCAGUCUGGUCCCGGAUGCCCGACUCCUCGAGGUCUGUCUGUGCACUGGGCCAAGGCCCUGCUGGCCACAGAACAUAGGCGGUGAGGGCUGCAUAGGGAGGGGCUGUGGUUUCAGAGGCUGACGCAGCUGGCUGGCCUUCUGCUCCUUGUCUCCCGGAGGCUCCCUGCCCUCAGCAAUAGAAGUGCCCUGGUCUUUGCCAGAACCAAACAGUGGUCACAGCUAGGACCUGCACCGGGGGUCCUGAAUCCACCUUGCCCGGUGCCCAGAUGCCCCUCCUGCUCUCUGGAUGGAGCCCACCCUCAACAAGCACUCCGGCAGGACCAGGUUCCAUGAAGACAAUGCCACUUGGAAUCUGAUAACAAUUGCGGGUCCAGAUGACUCUCGUGGGCAGCAUCCUCCAUGUGGACUCAGCCAUCCAGGUGGCCUCUAUCCUGCAGUGUCCACCUCACAGCUCUGGCACCAUCAUGGUGCAGAGUGCAGCCCUAGGAAGAUGGGAGACCCAGGAACUGGCCCUGUCUCUGCUGAUAGCUCCGUCAGCUUGAAUGAGGUCUAAGCCCCACGGACACUCUGCAUAAAGAAGCAUGCAUGUUGUAUGGAGUCUCACUCUGAUGCCCAGGCUGGAGGGCAGCGGCAUCAUCUUGGCUCACUGCAACCUCUACCUCCCGAGUUCAAGCAAUUCUCCUGACUCAGCCUCCUAAGUAGCUGGGAUUACAGGCACACACCACCACACUUGGCUAAUUUUGUAUUUUUAGUAAAGACAGGGUUUCACCAUGUUGGCCAGGCUGGUCUCAAACUCCCCACCUCAGAUGAUCUCCCUGCCUCGGCCUCCCAAAGCGCUGGGAUUACAGGCGUGAGCCACCGCGUCUGGCCGGUACUUCAACUAAAUAUUUAAGAUUAUUAGUACAUUGAGCUCAUCAAUGCUUCCACUUUGGGGUCCAAGAGCAAAACUGGAGCUAAUUCAGAUUAUCACCACCUAAGUUGCUUACUUUUAAAAAUUAUUAUUAUUUUUAAAUUUGGAAUGUCUCAGGGUUUCUGCUCCAAUUCAUAAUUCCUGUGUCUUUAGUGGAAAUGUCAGUACUUUAUAGGAUGACACACACAGCAUUAUUCCUGGCUGUUGAGACACCAAAAAGCCUGAUUUACUGUUCCUUCCAGAGGAUCCCCAACACCGACAUUGACUAAAUUCCUUUUCUGCAAGCAUCCUGGCAGAUGUUCUGGUUAAGACCUUGCACCGUCACGAGCUCAUCCUUUUCAUGCUCCAACAGCUGUUGAGUGCUGUGUAGCCACCACCCAAGCAUCUGACAUGUCGAUUUCAUUCUAGAGCCCAGCUGGAACCCUAAGAGGUUGAAAGUGGAGUUUUGUCUCCUCUGCAGUGGACACUCAAAGAACUAGCCAGGAUGGGUUGGACCUGGGAGCAGAGAGACCAUGGCUCCCUUCCAAGGCUGGGAGAAGGGAGUUGCCACUCCUUCCCAAUCAAACCAUGCCAAGAACGAGGCUUUUGCAGGGAAAUCAGUGCAGAUGAGAACUUACCAACAGUUAAGAUGAAUAAAUAUAUCCAACUGCCUGGCCCAUGUCAACACGCAACAAUUAUUUGCUAAAAGAAAUAAAAAAGGGGCCGGGCAGGGUGGCUCAUGCCUAGAAUCACAGCACUUUGAGAGGCUGAGGCAGGCAGAUCACUUGAGGCCAGGAGUUUGAGACCAGCCUGGCCAACAUGGUGAAACCCUGUCUCUACUAAAAAUACAAAAAUUAGCCGGGUGUGGUGGUGCGCACCUGUAAUCCCAGCUACUCUGGAGGCUGAGACAGGAGAACUGCUUGAACUCGGGAGGCAGAGGUUGCAGUGAGCCAAGAUGCACCAGUGCACUCCAGCCUGGGUGAUAGAGUGAGACUCCAUCAAGAAAGAGAGAGAGAGAGAGAAGAAAGAAAAAGAAAGAGAGAGAGAGAAAGAAAGAAAGAGAGAGAGAGAGAGAGAAAGAAAAGAAAGAAAGAAAAGAAAGAAAGAACGAAAGAAGAAAGAAAGAAAGAAAGAAAGAAAGAAAGAAAGAAAGAAAGAAAGAAAGAAAGAAAGAAAGAAAAGAAAGACUGACUGCAUGAACAACAGCCCAGGAAACACAAGAGAAGUAGCGUGGAGUAGUGGCCAAGGAUGGGUGCUAGAAUCUCAGAGCCUAUAUCUGUAUAUCAAGAUGUCUCAGGCCAAUGCCUAAAAACAGUGUUCAAUAAAUAUCGAAUAGUAAUAUUACUACUGUUAUCACAAUUGAGAAUAACUGAGUGUCAACCAGCUGAUCUGCUUGCCAAUGAAGGGACUCCAGGAUCCUUAAGUCACUUCUAUUUUUCUCCACUUCCCUGGCAACUUUUUCUCCAAGACUAGAUCGAUUCAACACUCCUCCAAGUCCUGGGUUAACCUCAGUGGCCCUCUGCCUCCCAUUGUGAUCACCUUCGUCCACAGCAAUCUUUUCCUUCUCCGACAGCACAUUAUUACCUUGUCAUUGGGCACUUGAAGUAGACAUCCUUUGACAUCCUCUGUGAAUGUUACCUUAUUUCAUUCCUUGUUUUCCCAGCAUGUAAUGGGCAAACAAGGCCCUUCAAAAAACAGAUCUGACCCUGUUGACUUCUGCAGACACAUCUAGCAUCUCUUUCAACUUGAAAAAUCAUGUCUAUAUUCCUGCAUUCCUAAGCUACCAGCUAAAUUUUUUAUAAGUUUAAAUUUAUAUUUGGAUGUAAUUAUAUAUUUAUAAAUUACAUAUAUAUUUUAUAUUUUUAAGAUAUUUACUUGUGUAAAAUAAAUAAAUAAAUGGGUAAAAUUUUCAGCAUAUUGUAAAUACUGGAUAUUUUAAGAGAAAACCGUAAUAUAACUUAAAGUAUGUCCAACUGAGGCUCAAUACGAUUGUGAUUUGAUACCUGUCAUAAUUGAUUUUUAAAAAAAUACAUACAGGAGCUUCUCAUGGUUAGGAACUUUUCAUUGUUCUUUAUUCCCCUUGAACUUGUACACCCCUAGAAGAAUUUGAUCAUAAUGUAUCAUAGUUUUAUUCUUGGAAGUUUUUUUUAUUGAUUACUCUAUCACAUAUCACUGACUGCAACAAAAAUAUGCUCAUACAUUUACAUUUAAAUUUAAAAAAUGUCUCUGACUAUAAGUCUUUACAUUUUAAAAUAAGUUUUUUUUUAAACUUAUCAUUAUGGAUGAUCAUUCUGGUUGUUCGCAGAACACAAUUGAUCAAAGCAGCAUAAGUAUGGCAGAGCUCAGGAUAAAGAAUUAUUAAUCUGAAAAAAGUAAAAUUAUUUGGCUAUUCUUCUCUUAGUAUGAUAGGUGGGAUUUUUUUUUCCAUUAAUGUAUUCAUGAAUAUUACUUGUUAUUUUAAGGAGGCAGUUUCAUCAUCAAUUUUAUUCACACCGUUUUGUUUUUAUUGGUGUAAGCACUGAGCAUUCGUUCACAUAAACAAGCAGAUGGGAAAGGGGGGCCUUCUGUUGGAAGCCACGCACUUGUUUGGACUCCUUCCAGGUUAUGUGCCAAAAAUCACACAAUGAUUUAUCAUAAAAAUAUUUUUGAUAAUCUAUGAGCUGACAUCCCUAUUAGGUUCCUCUUCAAUUUCAGUGAAAGUGAAGAAUUGAAAACAAUUUGACUGUAAAGGGAUGUGGUUCCAGUUAUACACCCAGAUGGGGUACCCAGUUGUCAGAGAUGUUUGUGUUCUCAAUGCUCAGGCUAAUAUUUCAAAAUGUGUCUUUGCCUGAUGCCCUGAAGGACUUUUCCCAGGAGGGGAAAACGCCUUUGUAAGACGCAAGCUGGGUGAUGGCUUUUGUGUGAGGACGUCUUCCACCAUCCACCCUUCCCCAUCCUCCUUCUGUCCUGGGAGGCUGGUUGCAUGGACCACAGCAAUGGGCUCCCUUCUCUGCUGCUUCCAAGUUAUGUUCCCUGCCAGUGGUUGGAGGUCAGGGCAGGGAAGAAUAAAGUUGGGCUCCAUCUGUGGGAUGACCCAGGGUGGCUGCAUCUCUCUCAGGAAGGUCACAGCUCCUUCACAUUCUACACAGCCUCUCCUGUCUCCAGAUUCUGGAAACCUCUUUCUUCUCUAACUCUGCACAGGGCCCCACUAACCCUAGAGAGCUGCACUAUCCUUUGUGGCUUUCUUUACUUCACCCACACCUUUAUAAACAUUUCCUGUAUUAAACUUUCUUCGAAUUACCCAAUUUGAGUGUGCUUUCUGUUUUGUGUUAGUAUCCU
rnacentral:lncRNA from 10 species